UUUUAAAUGGCCGCAGUAUUUUGACUGUGCAAAGGUAGCAUAAUCAUUAGUUUUUUAAUUAAAAGCUUGUAUGAAAGGCUGGACGAGGUAAAAUCUGUCUCUAUUUAAAUUAUAGUAGAAUUUAACUUUUAAGUUAAAAGGCUUAAAUAUUAUUAAAAGACGAGAAGACCCUAUAGAUCUUUAUAAUUUAUUAAAUAAAAUUAAUUUAGAAUUAUUAAUGUUUUAUUUAAGUAAAUUAUUUUAUUGGGGUAAUAGAAAGAUUGAAUUAAUUCUUUUUUAUUAUAAACAUUAAUUUAUGAAUAUAAAAUGAUCCAGUUUUACUGAUUAUAAGAUUAAGUUACCUUAGGGAUAACAGCGUAAUUUUUUUAGAGAGUUCAUAUCGAUAAAAAAGUUUGCGACCUCGAUGUUGGAUUAAAGAUUAUUUUAGGUGCAGAAGCUUAAUAAUUUUGGUCUGUUCGACCAUUAAAUCUUUACAUGAUCUGAGUUCAGACCGGCGUAAGCCAGGUCGGUUUCUAUCUUUAAUAAAAUAAAAUAUUUUAGUACGAAAGGACCAAAUAUUUAAUAUAUUUAUAUUUAAUUAAUUGAAUAUUA
rnacentral:rRNA from 1 species